rnacentral:lncRNA from 1 species
UAUUACAACAUUGGUACAAUCACAGUUUUACAUGCAUUUUCUCACUUUACAUACAUGAAUCUCUUUCCAAGACACAAUUACAACUUUCGCUCUUUAAUACAUUUUCUUUCCAAAUUACAUUUACAUUCUUGCUUAUACAUAGGGCGAUCUAAACUGGGUGACCCUGCUAUCUAGGAUGCAAUGCCCACGCCUCGAUCAGGUGCCGCUCCGCG